rnacentral:rRNA from 1 species
UACUGCCUACGGGACGCAGCAGUGGGGAAUAUUGGGCAAUGGGCGCAAGCCUUACCCAGCAAUACCGCGUGAGUGAAGAAGGUCUUCGGAUUGUAAAGCUCUUUGAUCAGGGACGAACAGAUGACGGUACCUGAAGAACAAGCCCCGGCUAACUACGUGCCAGCAGCCGCGGUAAAACGGAGGAUGCGAGCGUUAUCCGGAUUUAUUGGGUUUAAAGGGUGCGUAGGCGGUCCGGAAAGUCAGCGGUAAAAGCCCGGGGCUCAACCCCGGCGAGCCGUUGAAACUGUCGGACUAGAGACGGCGAG